UGCUAGAAUACGGGGGUCCACCCCCUAAGGCAUAGGGUAAUUUCUCUGACCGAUAGUGCACUAGUACCGUGAGGGAAAGGUGAAAAGAACCCGUAAUGGGAGUGAAAAAGAUCCUGAAACUUGGUGCCUACAAACAGUUAGAUAGCGUACCUUUUGCAUAAUGGGUCAGCGAGUUAAUUCAUAAAGCAUGCUUAAACCGGUAGGCGGAGGCAAAGAUAAGCACGAGGAAAGGCCAAUCAAACUCGGAGAUAGCUGGUUUUUUGCGAAAUCUAUUGAGGUAGAGCGUAACACAUACGUUCUAGGGGGUAGAGCACUCAAUGGGCUAGGGUGGCCCAAAGCCUUACUGAUCCCAACGAAACUCCGAAUACCUAGAUCGUUCUGUUGCAGACAGACUCGGGGUGCUAAGGUCCCGGGUCGAGAGGGAAAAAGCCCAGACCAUUCGCUAAGGUCCUAAAGCAAUGGUAGCAAAACGUUCUGUUGUUCUCCGAAGGUAAAUCGCAAGAUUCUAGUAUUCUGGAGAAAUCAGAAGUGAGAAUGCUGACAUGAGUAACGUUAAAUCAUGUAGAGUCAUGAUCGCCGAAAGUUCUCGGUUUUCCGCGCACCGCAUACCGACGCGGGGUUAAUCGGCCCCUAAAAUACACCGUACUUAAACCGACACUGGUGAACUGGUUGAGAAAACUUAGGCGAUGGGAGAACCAUGUUGAAGGAACUCGGCAAAAUGCCUUCGUAACCUCGGGAUAAGGAGGGCCUUUUUUCCACAAAACAAAAAAAGGUGGCACAGAAUCGGGAGCAGCGACAGUUUAUUAAAAACCCAGGACUCUGCAAAGUGGCAACACGACGUAUUGGGUCUGACACCUGCCCGGUGCUGGAAACUUAACAGGACUUGUGAACGCGACUUCGGUCUCGGGAGCUUGGACCUAGAAGGCCCAGUAAACGGCGGCCGUAACUCUGACGGUCCUAAGGUAGCAAAAUUCCUAGGCGCAUAAUUGGCGUCCCGCAUGAAUGGUGUAACGAUUGCUCCACUGUCUCCAACAUGGGCUCAGUGAAAUUGAAUUCUCCGUGAAGAUGCGGAGUUCCUGGAAGUAGACGGUAAGACCCCGUGCACCUUGACUAUAACUUUGUAUUGAACAAACUUUUUGAAUGUGUAGAAUAAGUGGGAGCGCAGAAGCCCUAAAGAGUAACGGGAGCGUGCGAAGGUAAGCUCAAGCUGGUCGGAAAUCAGCUGUAGAGCGCAACAGUAGAAGCUUGCCUAACUGUGAGACUCACCAGUCGAACAGAAACGAAAGUUGGCUGUAGUGACCCACAAACACUGUGUGGAAGGGUUUGUGAUCAACGGAUCAAAGGUACGCCGGGGAUAAACAGGCUGAUGGUUCCCAAGAGUCCAUAUCGACGGAACCGUUUGGCACCUCCGAUGUCGACUUUUCGCAACCUGGUGCUGCAGAAGGUACCAAGGGUAGGACUGUUCGUCCUUUAAAGCGGAACAUGAGUUGGGUUUAGAACGACGUGAGUCAGUUCGGUUCCUAUCUUUUCCAGGUGUUGGACACUGAGAGAAAGCGCUCUGUCGUACGAAAGGAAUCAGAGUGCCGAACCUCUGGUGUACCGGUUGUCCCGCCAGGGGCACCGCCGGGUAGCUACGUUCGAAGCCAUAAUCGCUGAAAGCAUCUAAGCGAGAAGGGUGUCUCAAAACAAGUGUCAAGACUCGUGGAAGACUACCACGUUGAUAGGCAGCGGGUGUAAGCCUGGUAACAGGUUCAGCUGAGCUGUACUAAUGUCCGCAACCUGGUGCUGCAGAAGGUACCAAGGGUAGGACUGUUCGUCCUUUAAAGCGGUACGUGAGUUGGGUUUAGAACGACGUGAGUCAGUUCGGUUCCUAUCUUUUCCAGGUGUUGGACACUGAGAGAAAGCGCUCUGUCGUACGAAAGGAAUCAGAGUGCCGAACCUCUGGUAGACCGGUUGUCCCGCCAGGGGCACCGCCGGGUAGCUACGUUCGAAGCCAUAAUCGCUGAAAGCAUCUAAGCGAGAAGGGUGUCUCAAAACAAGUGUCAAGACUCGCGGAAGACUACCACGUUGAUAGGCAGCGGGUGUAAGCCUGGUAACAGGUUCAGCUGAGCUGUACUAAUGUC